AACGAACGCUGGCGGCAGGCUUAACACAUGCAAGUCGAACGCCCCGCAAGGGGAGUGGCAGACGGGUGAGUAACGCGUGGGAAUCUACCCAGUUCUACGGAACAACUGAGGGAAACUUCAGCUAAUACCGUAUACGCCCUACGGGGGAAAGAUUUAUCGGAAUUGGAUGAGCCCGCGUUGGAUUAGCUAGUUGGUGAGGUAACGGCUCACCAAGGCGACGAUCCAUAGCUGGUCUGAGAGGAUGAUCAGCCACACUGGGACUGAGACACGGCCCAGACUCCUACGGGAGGCAGCAGUGGGGAAUAUUGGACAAUGGGCGCAAGCCUGAUCCAGCCAUGCCGCGUGAGUGAUGAAGGCCUUAGGGUUGUAAAGCUCUUUCAGUGGGGACGAUAAUGACGGUACCCACAGAAGAAGCCCCGGCUAACUUCGUG
rnacentral:rRNA from 1 species